rnacentral:sRNA from 2 species
AGAGUAAGUCAGCUUAAUCCAGCACAUAAGUUAAAGCUGGAGCGGAGAAACCAAAUUUUGGGGCGUAUCUUUCAGAAAGUGACCAUUUAAGAGCAAAAAGUGAAAAAUUAAUCAAUAUUCAACUCAUCACUUAGCACUCAAAACUCACUAUUCCUGAAAGAGGGACAUCUCUCAGUCCUAGCCCGUCAGCUAACUUCGUAAGCAUUGAGAGGAGACUGA